rnacentral:lncRNA from 1 species
ACCAUCAUUCCCGUCGCUGUCCUCGCCUUAGCGAAUUCUUAUCAUCGGCGGGUUGCGACGAGUCCGGAAUAUUACAUAUAAAUAUAAAAUAUAUGUAUUCGAAUACGAGUGAGCUGACUCUAAUUUUUGUUUAGCUUGUUUAUUAAACGAGCUGAAAAAUUCAGUUCGUAUUCGGCUCGUUUACUAAACGAGCGAUUCGAUCUCAAGCUCAUUUCGAGUCGAACAUGAGCCGGCUCGCAAAUAGUGAAUUGGAUUUUCACCCCAAGGCCCCCCUCCUUACUUCAAAAUGUUUGCCCAGAGAAUAACAUGUAUAGUCGGCACCUUGAAGAGCAUCGCCGCCGAAUUAUUAAAAGUUUGCCGUGAAGUUGUGAAAUCGGCAAUUCAAGUUGUUUGGGCACCGUACUUAGUCUGAUAGCCGAGUCAAAUUGGAAUAAUAACUCGGCAAACGACUCACGUUUGUGAGGACAUGUUGCGGAAAUUUUUACCCGUUUGAACAUCAAAUUAAGAUCAUCCAAUUAGGUAUACUUUUCACCUCAAAAAAAGAGAUUAAUUAAGGAGAGUUGAGUAAAAGUAUCUGCUCAUACUUCAUUUUGUAAGUUGCUCUCUAUUGUUUUUUUUUGUUUGUUUUUUCCCUCCAUACCUGUGAUUCGCUUCCAUCUUUCUAAACUUUGAAUUGCGAUUGCUGUCACAUCCNAGCAAAUUUCCAAUAGCUUACACACACACACACACAGAGUAAAUCUACUAAAAAUGAGCUUAAAAUUAGGGAAACACAUCACAUCACCAGUAAGAUCAUAUAAUACGUUUAAAAUGGCCAUUUACGAAUCUAAAAAUUACAAUAAACAAGUUUUUGGAUCUAGAUGCAAACAUCACGAUUCCUAACCCAAAAAUUUUUUUAAAAAAUGGGGCAAAAAGGCGAAAUUAUUUGGUUACCUAAAAGCUAGAACGACGACGAUCGCCCUUUCCCGUGCUCCGCACUCCACUCGCCCACUACCGCGCGAUAAACGAACGAAUCAAAUUACUCGGCUUUGGAUUUAAAUGGGCCGGACCAGCCCAUUUGGGAUAAUGGGCCCACCCGAAUAUGAGAACAAUUGGGUCUAAGGUUUUCGAACAUUUUAAAAUGGACGGGGCAAAUGAAUACAGAGCCCAACCCGGCCCAUUAAAACCAGGAAUUAUACCAAAAUAGGCCGCAAUAGGGGUGUCAACGAGCCGAAUACGAGCUGGCUCAUGAACUGACCAACGAAUAAUAAAUUAAAUAGAUUAGAUUGAUAAAUAUAAAAAAUAAAUUUAUAAAAUUUUACCCAUUAGACUUUACAUAUAAAUGGUUGAAAAUUUACAUAUAAAUAAGUUCUUUUUAUAAUUGAGCUCGACUUUAUUCUUUUUUGCUAAAAAUCAAAUAAUAAAAAUAUGUAUAUUUUAUAUAUAAUUAUUUAUUUAUAUAUAAAAAUUAUAUAUACACAUAAAUUAAAUAAAUUAUAUAAUGUAACGGCCGGAGCGACAAUGGAAGGAGGAGGUGAGAGCGCGGAGGAGAAGAGAGCGACAAGGUGAUUAGGGCAGUGGGGAGAGGAUCCGACAGUAUCUAAACCAAGUCAAAGGGUAAAUAAACAAGCUAAUUGGAGCGGGUACUUACCGGUAUCGGGCGGGCGCGGUAUGAGAGGAUCCGACCACUAAGGGAGGCUGGACUCUGGAGGGAAUAGAGAUUAGAGAGGGCCCAGUACCGAAUUAGGCCCAUAACAGCCCGAUUAUUAUUUAGCUUAAUUUGACUACUAUUUUGCAAUGUAAUCCCUGUACUUUUUGCUUUUCCCACUAUGAACGAGAUCUGGAGAUGAGUUAUAUAGGAUGAUUGUAACGAGGAGAGGAUCAUGAAUGAAAUACUAGUUAUCUUCUUCUCCAAACUUCUUCUCCCCCGACCCCUCUCUCUAUCCUACCCAAAUUCUUUCUCUCUGAUCUCAAUUCCCCUCUAUAUACCUCCCAAUUCCCAUCCCUUCUUUCUCUGGACUUCCGAUCUUAUUCUUUCAGCCUCAAUUGACCAAGAGUCACUGUCCGGGGCCACCAUCAUCCCCGUCGCUGUCCUCGCCUUUGCGAAUUCUUGUCAUCGGCAGGUUGCGACGAGUCCGGAAUAUUACAUAUAAAUAUAAAAUAUAUGUAUUUGAAUACGAGUGAGCUGACUCUAAUUUUUGUUCGGCUUAAAAAUUCAGUUCGUAUUCGGCUCGUUUACUAAACGAGCGAUUCGAUCUCGAGCUCAUUUCGAGCCGAACAUGAGCCGGCUCGCAAAUAGUGAGUUGGAUUUUCACCCCAAGGCCCCCUCCUUACUUC